GCUGUCUUUUUUUGUCUUUACCUUUAUUUCACUCAAUUCUUUUACUUUCACAAUUAAACUUUAUUAAUACCUACAACUUUCCAGAUCUUGACUCUCAAUAUCUAUUUACUUUGGUAUUCUUCAACUAAAUGACUUUAUCUAUUAAUACCUACAAUUAAACUUAAUGUCAUUUCCAAAACAGUUUGUGAAAACAAGUUUUUGAAUAAAUAAUAGAACUAUAAACUAUCUAAACAAAAUUAACUUUAUUUAUUACUUUUCUUUUUGGGGUGUCAAGAAACAAAAUUAACUUUUAAUAACAUCACUUUAGAAAUAGUGAGGAAUUGAUGGGAAUUGGGGAUGGUAUUUGUCGCCAAAAAAGAUAGUACAAUUCUCAAAGUCUUAGAAGUCAUUUAUUAAAAAGAAAUCUUAACAAAACAUUAUUGUUCUUUCAUAACCACCACACUAUUUGUUGUUACUUGUUUCCCACUUUGCCAUACUUGUUUCCCACUUCUUUCAUAAUUCCAAUUUCAUUAUAUUAUUAUUGUAGUUGCAGGAGGCAUAGCUAGAAAGAUAGAAAGGGCUCCCUGUUGUGACAAGGUGGGACUCAAGAAAGGCCGCUGGACAAAAGAGGAGGAUCAAAUCUUGAUCAACUACAUUCAAGCCAAUGGAGAAGGUUCUUGGAGGGCUUUGCCUAAGAAUGCUGAUUUAGCAUAUGGGACAAGUCAAGCAUGGAUAUAAAAUAUGCAAGUAGAUUGAUAUUUUUUGAUAAAUAUUAAUUACUAUUUUGUUAUGACAAUUAUUGUUAGACAAGAAUUUUAUUAUUUUGUUGAGAAUUAUUGAUGAAGAUGUAUUUGAAAUACUAAUUAAACUUUUUAA